GACGAACGCUGGCGGCGUGCCUAAUACAUGCAAGUCGAGCGCUAAAGGUUGGAACUUGUACCGACUGGGUGAGCAGCGGACGGGUGAGUAACGCGUGGAUAAUCUGCCUUUGAGCGGGGGACGACAUUGGGAAACGAAUGCUAAUACCGCAUAAAAACUUUAACCACAAGAUUCAAGUUUGAAAGAUGCAAUUGCCUCACUCAAAGAUGAUUCGGCGUUGUGUUAGCUAGUUGGUGGGGUAACGGCCCACCAAGGCGAUGAUACGUAGCCGCUCUGAAAGGAGGAUGGGCAAAAUGGGAACUGGGACACGGCCCAGACUCUUAGGGGAGGAGCAAGUGGGGAACAUCGGACAAGGGGCGAAAGCUGACCGAGGCAAGCCGGGGGAGGUGAGAAGGGUCUUGGGUUGGAAAAGCCCGUUUGUAGGGAAGGAAGAGGGGGAGAGUGAAAAGCUGAUCAAGUGACGGUACCUACCCAGAAAGCGACGGCUAACUACGUG
rnacentral:rRNA from 1 species